rnacentral:rRNA from 1 species
AUUGAACGCUAGCGGCAGGCCUAACACAUGCAAGUCGAGCGGAUGAAGGGAGCUUGCUCCUGGAUUCAGCGGCGGACGGGUGAGUAAUGCCUAGGAAUCUGCCUGGUAGUGGGGGAUAACGUCCGGAAACGGGCGCUAAUACCGCAUACGUCCUGAGGGGGAAAGUGGGGGAUCUUCGGACCUCACGCUAUCAGAUGAGCCUAGGUCGGAUUAGCUAGUUGGUGGGGUAAAGGCCUACCAAGGCGACGAUCCGUAACUGGUCUGAGAGGAUGAUCAGUCACACUGGAACUGAGACACGGUCCAGACUCCUACGGGAGGCAGCAGUGGGGAAUAUUGGACAAUGGGCGAAAGCCUGAUCCAGCCAUGCCGCGUGUGUGAAGAAGGUCUUCGGAUUGUAAAGCACUUUAAGUUGGGAGGAAGGGCAGUAAGUUAAUACCUUGCUGUUUUGACGUUACCAACAGAAUAAGCACCGGCUAACUUCGUG